AGUGAACGCUGGCGGUAGGCCUAACACAUGCAAGUCGAACGGCAGCACAGUAAGAGCUUGCUCUUACGGGUGGCGAGUGGCGGACGGGUGAGGAAUACAUCGGAAUCUACUUUUUCGUGGGGGAUAACGUAGGGAAACUUACGCUAAUACCGCAUACGACCUACGGGUGAAAGCAGGGGAUCUUCGGACCUUGCGCGAUUGAAUGAGCCGAUGUCGGAUUAGCUAGUUGGCGGGGUAAAGGCCCACCAAGGCGACGAUCCGUAGCUGGUCUGAGAGGAUGAUCAGCCAAACUGGAACUGAGACACGGUCCAGACUCCUACGGGAGGCAGCAGUGGGGAAUAUUGGACAAUGGGCGCAAGCCUGAUCCAGCCAUACCGCGUGGGUGAAGAAGGCCUUCGGGUUGUAAAGCCCUUUUGUUGGGAAAGAAAAGCAGCAGGUUAAUACCCCGCUGUUCUGACGGUACCCAAAGAAUAAGCACCGGCUAACUUCGCG
rnacentral:rRNA from 1 species